CACGUAGGGUGCGAGCGUUGUCCGGAAUUAUUGGACGUAAAGAGCUCGUAGGCGGUGUGUCGCGUCGGCCGUGAAAAACCUGCAGCUUAACUGUGGGCUUGCGGUCGAUACGGGCAUCACUGGAGUUCGGCAGGGGAGACUGGAAUUCCUGGUGUAGCGGUGAAAUGCGCAGAUAUCAGGAGGAACACCGGUGGCGAAGGCGGGUCUCUGGGC
rnacentral:rRNA from 1 species